GAUUUGGUAGUAUAUCGGUUAGUACACGCGCCUGUCAUGACGGCAUUUCCAAGCGCACGCGCGAAAGCUGGGUUCGACUCCCAGCCAGGGAG